UGGGGAAUAUUGCACAAUGGGGGAAACCCUGAUGCAGCGACGCCGCGUGAACGAAGAAGGUAUUCGUAUCGUAAAGUUCUGUCCUAUGGGAAGAUAAUGACAGUACCAUAGAAGAAAGCUCCGGCUAAAUACGUGCCAGCAGCCGCGGUAAUACGUAUGGAGCGAGCGUUGUCCGGAAUUAUUGGGCGUAAAGGGUACGCAGGCGGUUUAAUAAGUCGAAUGUUAAAGAUCGGGGCUCAACCCCGCAAAGCAUUGGAAACUGAUAAACUUGAGUAGUGGAGAGGAAAGUGGAAUUCCUAGUGUAGUGGUGAAAUACGUAGAUAUUAGGAGGAAUACCAGUAGCGAAGGCGACUUUCUGGACACAAACUGACGCCGAGGUACGAAAGCGUGGGGAGCAAACAGG
rnacentral:rRNA from 1 species